rnacentral:rRNA from 1 species
GCCUCUUGCUUGGCCCCCGCUUCUAUAUAUAGAUUUUUUUACUGUCAGGACGAACGCUGGCGGCGUGCCUAAUACAUGCAAGUCGAGCGGACAGAAGGGAGCUUGCUCCCGGAUGUUAGCGGCGGACGGGUGAGUAACACGUGGGUAACCUGCCUGUAAGACUGGGAUAACUCCGGGAAACCGGAGCUAAUACCGGAUAGUUCCUUGAACCGCAUGGUUCAAGGAUGAAAGACGGUUUCGGCUGUCACUUACAGAUGGACCCGCGGCGCAUUAGCUAGUUGGUGAGGUAACGGCUCACCAAGGCGACGAUGCGUAGCCGACCUGAGAGGGUGAUCGGCCACACUGGGACUGAGACACGGCCCAGACUCCUACGGGAGGCAGCAGUAGGGAAUCUUCCGCAAUGGACGAAAGUCUGACGGAGCAACGCCGCGUGAGUGAUGAAGGUUUUCGGAUCGUAAAGCUCUGUUGUUAGGGAAGAACAAGUGCAAGAGUAACUGCUUGCACCUUGACGGUACCUAACCAGAAAGCCACGGCUAACUACGUGCCAGCAGCCGCGGUAAUACGUAGGUGGCAAGCGUUGUCCGGAAUUAUUGGGCCGAAAGGGCUCGCAGGCGGUUUCUUAAGUCUGAUGUGAAAGCCCCCGGCUCAACCGGGGAGGGUCAUUGGAAACUGGGAAACUUGAGUGCAGAAGAGGAGAGUGGAAUUCCACGUGUAGCGGUGAAAUGCGUAGAGAUGUGGAGGAACACCAGUGGCGAAGGCGACUCUCUGGUCUGUAACUGACGCUGAGGAGCGAAAACACGGGGAGCGAACAGGAUUAGAUACCCUGGUAGUCCACGCCGUAAACGAUGAGUGCUAAGUGUUAGGGGGUUUCCGCCCCUUAGUGCUGCAGCUAACGCAUUAAGCACUCCGCCUGGGGAGUACGGUCGCAAGACUGAAACUCAAAGGAAUUGACGGGGGCCCGCACAAGCGGUGGAGCAUGUGGUUUAAUUCGAAGCAACGCGAAGAACCUUACCAGGUCUUGACAUCCUCUGACAACCCUAGAGAUAGGGCUUUCCCUUCGGGGACAGAGUGACAGGUGGUGCAUGGUUGUCGUCAGCUCGUGUCGUGAGAUGUUGGGUUAAGUCCCGCAACGAGCGCAACCCUUGAUCUUAGUUGCCAGCAUUCAGUUGGGCACUCUAAGGUGACUGCCGGUGACAAACCGGAGGAAGGUGGGGAUGACGUCAAAUCAUCAUGCCCCUUAUGACCUGGGCUACACACGUGCUACAAUGGACAGAACAAAGGGCUGCGAGACCGCAAGGUUUAGCCAAUCCCACAAAUCUGUUCUCAGUUCGGAUCGCAGUCUGCAACUCGACUGCGUGAAGCUGGAAUCGCUAGUAAUCGCGGAUCACAAUGCCGCGGGGGGAAAAACGUUUCCCGGGGCCUUGUACACACCCGCCCGUCACACCACCGAGAGUUUGCAACACCCGAAGUCCGGUGAGGUAACCUUUAUGGAGCCAGCCGCCGAAGGUGGGGCAGAUGAUUGGGGUGAUAAAAAAAGAGGGGGGAAAAAAAAAAAAAGGGGGGAG